ensembl:lncRNA
GUUCACAAGUUCAAGUUUACCGCGUCGACGCUACACACUACAACCAAUAAGGUUUGAGAAUGGUAUGGCGCGGGCUGUCUCACGUUGCGAUUACGUAAACAAACAGAUUUUUCGCGUGCUCGCCAAAUUCGAACAUGUGAAUGAUUUUGAGUCAAAAUCGAUUAGUUACAUUUGUUUUUAAUAAGAAGUAACGGGAUAACUUAAAACGAAUAUAGCACAUACUCAUAUGGAUUACUUUUUUUUUUUUUUGGAAUUUAUUUAUUUAUUUAUUUGAAUCAUGCUUCCAUCUGUCAUCCGGGUGUCUCACUGAUGAAAACACCAGUUUGAAGCUACAUCAGGCAUCCAUUCACUGCAGAGGAUUCAUUGCUGAGCAAGUGAUGGAAUGCUAAUUUCCUCCAAAUUAGUUCCGAUAAAGAAACAAACUCAUCUACAUCUCGGAUGACCUGAGGACACAGAUAUAUGAUGGGUGAUGCACCCUUUCCCAAAACAGAAACUAAUGUCGGCAGAGCAGAGAUAGCUCAUCUUGUCACCCACUGAAUCAUAAUGAGGAAAUGUGAGGUAUGUUUUUUUUUUUUUUUUUUUUUUUUUUUUUUUUUUUUUUGUAAAUAAGCUCUUCUAAUAUUGGGAGGCAGCAUUGGUGAAAUUGAAGCCAUGAGAUGUAUAAAACUUUGAUUUUAUGGUGUAUUGGAUGUUCUGUCACAGGAUAAUGCUUGUAAUCAGCAGUAUCGGAGAACAAGAAUGUCAUUGUCUCACCCCUCAUUUCCUGUCCGGUUCAGAUGGCCAGAGUGAGGCAAAUAUUAGAUCAACAUGUAUGGAAAUAUAUUAUUACAAAGAGAAGCUGUUACGCCGCAGACACCUCUGCAAGAGUCCAAGUGAGAUUUGUGAACCGCCGCUGCAAGGAAAAGGACCUCUGGUGUCAAGGUCAAACUUCUUUGGAACAAUAAAUUUAUUGUACGUAAAACUUUGGAUUAGGCCUCCAUUACGUGGUUGACCAGUAUCCAUCCAUGGUUUAAAAUCCAGCCUGACCAACUUAAGAAAUGCACGGUAAGAUCAGCUGGUAGCUGGAACUGAAGCAGUUUAAGAUGAAUUUUCCAUCAAGGUUAGGCUUAGAAAUGUGACUGUAAUUUCAAUUUUUUAUUUUUUUUUUCAUGCUAUUAAGAGGCAGGUCUUUUUCUUUGAAUUUCUCUUAUUGCAGGUGAACAUCUUUGAAGUUAAAGAAACCGCAUUAUCAAGGUCUUGGCAGGGACGUACCCCAAAGUCUGGAAUUUUUUCCCAAGAUGUAUAUAAUAAAGGUUGUGAAAUAGUUGGCA